rnacentral:rRNA from 1 species
UACGUAGGGUGCGAGCGUUAAUCGGAAUUACUGGGCGUAAAGCGUGCGUAGGCGGUUUUGUAAGUCUGACGUGAAAGCCCCGGGCUUAACCUGGGAAUUGCGUUGGAGACUGCAAGGCUUGAAUCUGGCAGAGGGGGGUAGAAUUCCACGUGUAGCAGUGAAAUGCGUAGAGAUGUGGAGGAACACCGAUGGCGAAGGCAGACCCCUGGGUCAAGAUUGACGCUCAUGCACGAAAGCGUGGGGAGCAAACAGG